GGUUCUAUGGUGUAGUGGUUAGCACUCUGGACUUUGAAUCCAGCGACCUAUUUUGUGUGUUUCUUUUUCUUUUUUUG